rnacentral:rRNA from 1 species
GAUGAACGCUAGCGGGAGGCCUAACACAUGCAAGCCGAGCGGUAUUGUUUCUUCGGAAAUGAGAGAGCGGCGUACGGGUGCGUAACACGUGUGCAACCUGCCUUUAUCUGGGGGAUAGCCUUCCGAAAGGAAGAUUAAUACUCCAUAAUAUAUUGAACGGCAUCGUUUAAUAUUGAAAGCUCCGGCGGAUAGAGAUGGGCACGCGCAAGAUUAGCUAGUUGGUGAGGUAACGGCUCACCAAGGCGAUGAUCUUUAGGGGGCCUGAGAGGGUGAUCCCCCACACUGGUACUGAGACACGGACCAGACUCCUACGGGAGGCAGCAGUGAGGAAUAUUGGUCAAUGGGGGCAAGCCUGAACCAGCCAUCCCGCGUGAAGGACGACUGCACUAUGGGUUGUAAACUUCUUUUGUAUAGGGAGAAACCUACCCUCGAGAGGGUAGCUGAAGGUACUAUACGAAUAAGCACCGGCUAACUCCGUG